UGAGGAGAAUGAUUCAUAGAGGAGGGUCAGGAGAGAACAGUUCUGUCUGUGAAAGCACACUUAAGAGGCUGGACUCUUCUCCGAGGGAGGGAGAGGCAGGAGAGCCAGCAGGGCCUCGGGCCUGACUCCCCCCCUCAGGCCGUUCGCCAGGCCUCUACCGAGUCCUGGGCCUUGUCGGGGGUGGCCGCGAGGCGCCGGUUGCUGGGGGGCCGGUGACGUCGCGGGGUGAAAGUUGAGGGGCGGUGACGUCGGGCCUGUCCGGGCGGAGGCUGGCGGGUUGGAGGCAGAGGGAGGGAGGGAAGGAGGGAAGGAAGGAAGCUGGGAAGAAGCGAGCGAGCGAGUGGGGGCGCGAGGCGUUUACCUGGAGGCAGCGGCUUGGGCGCGCAGAGCGGCCGCGGCUCCCCCGCACCUGCGGCCAUGGAUGAGGAGCGCGCCCUCUACAUCGUCCGGGCCGGCGAGGCGGGGGCUAUCGAGCGGGUCCUGAGGGAUUACAGCGAUAAGCAUAGGGCUACUUUCAAAUUUGAAUCAACAGAUGAAGAUAAAAGAAAGAAACUCUGUGAAGGCAUAUUUAAAGUCCUUUUAAAGGACAUCCCAACAACAUGUCAAGUGUCCUGCCUUGAAGUUCUCCGCAUUCUCUCCAGAGACAAAAAGGUUUUAGUUCCUGUAACAACUAAGGAAAAUAUGCAGAUACUGCUGCGACUAGCCAAGCUAAAUGAGUCGGAUGAUUCUUUGGAGAAGGUGUCAGAGUUCCCAGUUAUUGUGGAGUCAUUAAAAUGUCUUUGUAACAUAGUGUUCAACAGUCAGAUGGCACAGCAGCUCAGCCUGGAACUUAACCUUGCUGCAAAGCUCUGUAACCUCCUGAGAAAGUGCAAGGACCGAAAGUUUAUCAAUGACAUUAAGUGCUUUGACUUGCGCUUGCUCUUCGUCCUGUCACUUUUGCACACCGACAUCAGGUCACAAUUGCGCUAUGAGCUCCAAGGACUACCGCUGCUAACCCAGAUCUUGGAAAGUGCCUUUAGCAUCAAGUGGACCGAUGAAUAUGAAUCGGCCAUAGACCGUAAUGGACCUCCUCUCUCACCUCAGGAGACAGACUGUGCCAUUGAGGCCCUCAAAGCUCUCUUCAAUGUGACGGUAGACAGUUGGAAGGUGCAUAAAGAGGGUGAUUCUCAUCAGUUUCGUGUCAUGGCAGCUGUUCUUCGCCAUUGUUUACUAAUCGUAGGUCCAACUGAAGACAAAACAGAAGAGCUACACAGCAAUGCAGUCAACCUUUUAAGCAAUGUUCCAGUCUCUUGUUUGGAUGUUCUCAUUUGUCCAUUAACCCAUGAAGAAACAGCCCCAGAAGCAACGACGCUAGAUGAACUGCCCAGUGAUAAAACAGCUGAGAAAGAAACAGUUUUGAAAAAUAAUACCAUGGUAUACAAUGGUAUGAAUAUGGAGGCCAUUCAUGUUUUACUUAGUUUUAUGGAGAAGAGAAUAGACAAGGGAAGCAGCUAUAGAGAGGGUCUAACUCCAGUUCUCAGCUUAUUAACAGAAUGUUCCCGAGCCCAUCGAAACAUCAGAAAAUUUCUCAAAGAUCAGGUUUUACCACCAUUGAGGGAUGUGACAAAUCGACCUGAAGUUGGCUCAACUGUGAGAAAUAAGCUGGUGCGCCUCAUGACACAUGUUGACCUGGGAGUCAAGCAAAUUGCUGCUGAAUUCCUUUUUGUCCUUUGCAAAGAGAGAGUGGAUAGCCUGCUGAAAUACACUGGCUAUGGGAAUGCUGCAGGACUGUUGGCGGCCAGGGGCCUCUUGGCUGGAGGAAGAGGAGAUAAUUGGUACUCAGAGGACGAGGACACAGACACUGAAGAAUACAAAAAUGCAAAACCAAACAUUAAUCUUAUCACUGGUCAUUUAGAGGAACCAAUGCCAAACCCCAUAGAUGAAAUGACAGAAGAACAAAAAGAAUAUGAAGCCAUGAAACUUGUCAACAUGCUUGAUAAACUUUCCAGGAGAGCAGAUGUGAACGACCUGCACCAGGAUGGUGGUUAGCAACAGUGGCCCGUGCCAAAGCACUUACCAAAGUGAUGACUAAGGUUGGUCAUGCCAAGUACUGUUACUGAGCCUGGUGUAGGGUACAGAUGUUAUUUACCACCAAAACUGUAAAACCACCAAUGCAAAAAUUAAAAUUACAUUUCCAUUUUGCCUCCAUGCUGGACAUAGCCACUGCCUCAAGUUGCUCACCACCUUAGCAGCUUUAUCUCAGCUAGAUUUUUAAGGAUACUGGAGAGAUCAGCGCUCAAACAUUUUCUUCCCAUUGACCACCAACUGACAGUAUAUUCCAAGUGAUUUUUUUUUUUUAGUAAGGAUUGUAUUUGUGACAGAUGUAGGUAAGGGGAUUGGCAAUGGACCUAGAGGUCUUAAGAGUUUGAGAAUAAUUUGAACCCCAUAAAUCCCAUCAUGUCUAGCUAGUACAGUGCCUUGUACCCUGUGGUUUCCCCAGUGUGUGAUGAUGAAAUAAUGUAUAAAGCAGAUCCCCAAAUCGAAGGUUAAUUUUUUGCUCAAUAAAAUAGCCUACAUGGUUUAAAGACUUGAAAGUAUACUUUUGUCAGUUCCAUUUCUUGGCCAGAUGUCAUAAAAUUCAGGUCUGGAAAGGAAUUCUAUAAGGUACUUUGGCCCACGACUGGCUAAUUUAAAUAUUGGGGUACCUAACUUCUUUAAUAUAGAAUGAUAAUUGUAAUAUUUAUCAGACAUAAGCAUUAAGGCCUGAGGCAUAAGAUUAUAGAAAGCUUCCUUUGACAUUUUUUUUUAAUGUGAGAACAGAGGUGGAAAAGGGGAUGAAAGUUGCCUGCCUCUCCACCUCCUCUUUCCUUUUCUGAAUUGGAAAAAAAAUAAGCCCCUGCAAUUUAAGCGGGAGAUUAGAACGGGGAUUGUAUGUGGUUAAGCAAGUCCAGUGUGGCUAAGACAACUGCAUUCACCUCAGCUACAGCACACGAGCCUCAUGUAGUGACGUGGCCUCCUCCACAAAAGGGGAGAGAGGAUUGACUGGCUUAAGCCUAAGCUAACCAAGGGGAGUGAUAUCUCAAGUUUCAGUUUUGUUUUGACUUUUCUAAUCCCCUUUAGUUUCUUAAUUGGAACCAGGACUGAUUAACCUUCUACUCUACCCUAACCCCAUCACUGUUUAACAAGGUGCAUUGCCUUUAUUGCUUAUAUAUUCUAUCAAAAUCUUCUAAAAUUUACAUUUAUAUAAAUAAUUGUUUUCCAUUUCUUCCUUUUCUUAUCUCCUCUUUAUCCAAUAUAUAUAUUUUGCCAGCCUUUGUGUAGUAUUUGGGACAUGGUGGACAUGGCUUUCUUAAUAAAUGCAAGUAUCAAAUAUAGUAAUAGUUCCCCUUUAAACCAAAGGUUAUUUUUAAACUUAUGGAAGCUGGGACAGGUAAUUUAUGAGUGAAAAGUAAUAACUACAUAAUUUUUUUCUUGUAACUAAAUUACUUUACUCUACUUACAAAAAUAACUGUGAUUACUCCCACCUUUAUGAUGAGUUAAUCAAGGAAAUGCUUUUUAGGUACAUUUCAGAAAUAUGAUCCAGUCUUUAUAGCAUUGUGAGAUCUAUUUAGGUACGAAAGUGUCAAGAUCUUAAUUGUUUACAUCAGAAAAUCCUUUAGAUCUGCACUGUCCAAUAUGGUAACCACUACCCAUAUAUAACUAUGGCUAGUCUGAAUUGGGAUGUCCUGUAAGUGUUAAAUACUCAGACUUUCAAAGACUCAGUACAAAAAGAGAAUGUAAAAUAAAUAUCUCAGUUGUUUAAUAUGGAUUUUAUAUUGAAAUAAUUUUUGAUAUAUUGGAUUAAACAUUAUUUUAAAAUUAAUUUUACCUAUUUUUUCUAUGUGGCUACUAGAACAUUUAAGAUUACAUAUAUGGCUUACAUUGUAUUAGAUAGCACUGUUCUACAUCAUUAAAAUACACUGCAGUGUUGCUUAGAAGCUUAAUUAAGGGAACUUGGAUCCAGUUAAACUAAUAUACCCUUAAAGUGGUAGGGGAGAAUUAAUUGGAGAAACUGGCUAGACAUCUCUUAGUAGGACGUCAUGCAAACUUUGUAUUGCCUAUCAGUAGUCAUUGUCCUUUAACUCUGUAGUAGGAAUGCCUACUUGGAGCUCUUGGUUUAAGCACUAGGUGAAAUGACUUCUGUUUAUUAGAGAAACAUCAAAUAAGAAUAAUCUCCAUUGACUAUUUGCUCUGAGUAACCCUCCUCCUUUAACUUUUAAGACUUUCUCAUUGAGAAGAGCAUGUACGAACUUCCAUUUCUACUGCUUUAUUCAACAGUGUCAGCUGGCAUGCUGACCUCUUAUUAAUAUUUAUUUUGCUAAUUCUGGACAACAGGAAAGAAAGGUUCUGUAGAGAAAUUACCAAGAAAUAAAGAUCACCUUCAGUUAAGGACAAAACUGAGUUUUAUUUUUCUAGCACUAUCCCUAACCUCUUUCUCUAUAUUUUCUUAACCAUGCUCUUCAAUGUGAGGUGGAUAGCAAAUUUUUAGAAGCUUUGCAUGUGAUCUUCUAACAGAAAUGAGAAUAAUGAAAGACUAAUAUUUAUAUAGUGCUUUAAAGUUUAAAAAGUACUUCCACUGACUGUUAAAACAGCCCUGUGAAUUAGAUAGGGCAAGAGAUAUUUUAUUGAGGAGUAAAUGGGACCAAUGAUGAAGUGACAGAACCAAAAUCAGGCAUCUGGUUAAUGACAUAGUCAGGAUUUGGUUCUUAGUCUUCAUAUUCCAGAUCUUAUGUUAUUUUGAAAAAUUACCAACAAACAGCUCUCAGAUUUGUCAGUCUGAUUAUUUUUAAUAAUACACUUUAAAUUUUAAAUAGAUGCAAAGCACGAAGACAAAGAGUAAGCAUAUUUACGAAGACAAAGAGUAAGCAUAUUUACCUGACAAAAAAAUUAAGAUUUGGAGGCCAUUCAUUCCUGCUUUUUCAUUCCAUAGUUGAGCUUUUCUCAAAUAUCAAGUCAGGUCCUAUGUAGCUUAUAUCAAAAACAGAAGACAAACAGAAACAACUUCAUAUGAAGGAAACCAGUAAAACUGCUAUGAUUCUAUGUUAAUAAAGUCUUUCUUUUAACUAUUUUGAAAAUAGAAUGAUUAUAGGUAUUCUAACAAAUUCUUACAUUCAGUGUGAUCAUAUUAAGAAAAUUAACUUUAGAAAGACUUCCUUAUUUACAGGACUGUUGCCUGUUUAGGCAGCUCCCAAAGUGGAAGGACAUGGUGUAGAUAACAUGCCAUAUCCAUUUGUCUUGGGAAUGAUAUUUUUAUGUUACGUAUUUUACCUUCCCAACUGUACCCAAUCCCAAAGCAUAAUGGUGAGGCUGAGGGAAGGAUCUCAGAAAUGUUUUUGAAAAAUGCAGCUUGAAGACCUCAAAUUUGGUAUAGAAAAGUCACCACACCUCUCCUGCCUACUGGGUUAGUGGCUUAGUGAAAGAACAGUAAAACCAACCAGUCAGCACUAGGAAGCCAUUAGAUGAAAGAUUAACUGAAAGAUGAAGGACCAGCAAAGGACACUCUUUCAUAGUAUUUAACUGAACAUGUUAACCAGUGCCAAAGGUUGUUUUAAUUUCUGUGAGGAAAAAAGCGUUAAAAACACUUAAGAAUAUCACAAGUUAUUGGGAAAUCCAUUGUACUUCAGUGGAUAUGGACUGUUCCAUUGAUGCUGAAAUCUUGAAAUAAGAUGCACUCUCAGACUUGGAAUUAUAGCAAAGAUUACAGAGCUUCUUUCUCCGGGCUCUCACAGGCUCCAUUACUGCAGGCACUUUUGGAAAAGCUCUGUUAAUUAAAAUGCUUUAUUUAUAUACUAAUUUUCAUCCUAUCUUUCAAAUGUGAAAGGGAAUUAAAUAUGAAAUGGCUAAUUUUAAAUGCCAGGGUUCUUUUUUUUCCAAGCCAACCUUACAUUAAGAACAGGAAUCCCUGUGCCAAAGAAAUGGUUCCCAAUUAUCCCAUCAUGGGUUUUGUUAUACAUUGUACAGAAGUCAACAAAACAAGUAGGUAACAGGACCUGCCUAAAUAGCAGCCACCCUCAUUAAAAUCAGAGAAUUAAUCGGGGUGAUUGAAGGAAGCAAUGCUUCAUAGGCUCCCCCUUUUUCUUCUUUUCUAAUCAUAGAACAAAAUAUGUUACAUAAAAGGAUCGGAACUAUUAUGCAGUACUCAAUUAGAGGGAGGUGAAUAGGUCUCUAACAUGCUGUUUUAUCAAAAGAGCAGACUGGUGUUUGCAUGACUGUUGUUUCAUUACAGACCCUGUCAUUAAUUCCAUGUGUCAAUACUGCCCUGUAGUACACAGAGCAGACAAGAAAGAAGAGCCCUUGAAAACAAGGGAAUGAUUUUUGAGUCGUUAUCAAGCUAAGUGGCAAGCGGGAAGCUGAAACUCGUAUAGUUGAACAUUCUUGGAGGCUUAUCUCUUCCCUGGCCAGAUGCCUGAUCAGAUGAGAAGCCCGCCAUGAUACUGUCACAGUGCCUAGAAUGGGCUCUUUAUCCAGUAGACAUCACUGUACUUUUUGAUGAUAACGAGGGCAGUCUUAACUUGUGUUAAGGCCUGUGUAUAGCAUUGAAGAGAGGAGUUGCUUAAACCAAUGGGACUAAAACCUGAUGGGACAAUAACGCCUUUGGAGGAAGCACUCAACCAGUACUCUGUCAUCGAGGAGACCAGCUCUGACACAGACUAAAAGCAUCACCUGCUCAACUCUCAGUAUUGCUUUUAUCAGCAUCUUUUCUCUGUAGCUCCAGGGGAAUCUUUUCUCUAAAACAUUUAUGCCCUUGCUUUGGCUAGAAACACAUUAACUGGUUUACUCAUUGAGAAUCCAGCAUAUUUAAGAAGUGAUCCUGUGUUUUGCGAUAUUGAGGCAUUCAUACAGAGCUGCAGUUAGACGGAGUUGCAGAGACUAGGAACAGAAAAAAAAAUAAUUCCAUUUUGUCAAGAUGGAACUGAAGGACUUCACUCUAUAAAGCAAGCCCUGGUUGAAUCUGGCAGUUAUGUUUGCCAAGAUUCUAAAGAAGAUUUAGCCGUGUCCUUCCUCUCACUUGUGUGAGCUGCCCUUUCUGAAUCUCUCCAGAGACAGAGGCAUGUGAGAAGCAGAACAGCUGCUAAAAAGGGGCUGAGGCAAGUGACUUGUUAGAUCAGGACUGAGUGAAUGGAAGCCAAGCAGCUGCUCCAUAAACGUAGCCCCAACUCUUCAUUUCAAUUUUGUAUAAAAUCUAUAGAAAUGCACACACACGCACACACACACAACAGCCCCAGACUUGCAAACUGGUUACAUUCAAAAAGUUUGUAUGUCAGUUAUCUAGAACUUCAGAAUACAUUUCUCCCUAUAAAGUUAUAAAUGAUGGUUUAGUUCUGAGGCAGCUACAAAUGCCUAUUUAUUCCCUAAUAACCUGAACACUAGUACCAUAGAACUGAACCCCCAUCUGUAUCACUGCGUGGGGAACAUGCAUUCUGAGGUCUAACAUAGGGGUGCCUCCAACCUGGUAGAGGGAAUGGGGACCCCCUGGGUACGGGGUUUCCUUUUGAGCCCUCUGCUGAGGGUGGGGGAGUCAGCAGCACCCAUUUGUACAUAUAGGUCACUCAUAUGUCACAUGUUUUAAAUUGGGGAGUGUGUGUGCUUGUGUGUGUGUCCUACCUUUCUACCAUAUGUGAUCAGUUUAAUGGUAACUUUAUUUAUUUAAAAAAGAAACACAAAUAGUUACUGUUAAACUGAUUAAGGCUGUUUAUUUUUACUUUUAGAAUUGGUCAUAUGACGAAGUAGAAAAUGAAUCAUGCAAUAGACAGUGGGCCUAGUUAAUCAAUGGCUAAAGUUGAAAAGGGGUUGGUUUCCUUUUAUAUAUAUAUAUGUAUGUAUAUACAUAUAUAUAUAUAUAUACACACAUAAUGUGCUUAACCACUGCCUUUUAAAACUUUAAAUUAAAUAAAACAUUGGGGUUGAUUCAAUUUAGCUAUCUGUGUGUGUUUCUUUAUAGAUACAUGGGGUAAACAAUCCUAUUUCACAGUUUAUGCUUUUUUAAAGUGCUUUUACAUCUGUUAUCUCACUUAUAAUAAAUAGCCUUUCUAAGGAUAAAGUACAUGAAGUAUUAGUGAAAAUGUCAUUUAUCCAGAAGUCACUUCUCUGGCAAAAGUACAAAUCAGGAAUUCAGUUUUAAAAAGCCUUAGAGCUGCCAAAAGAGAUGGCAAAGUUUCUUACAAUUUAUUUAUAGGAGAGAUCCUCAAGAAUCUCACCUUGUGCCUCUUUACUAAAAUUUACAUAUACUUCUAACAUGUUUAGUUAUCUGACUUCCAAGCCCACGAAAAAAAUGGCAAAGGAGGAGGCUGUUAGAUGGAAAGCAGACCUACUGAAAGCAGCAAAAAGCCAACUGAAAACCGGAUAGGAACGUGGGGAGAAUGAAAACUACUCAAGGCGUCAUAAGUCUGGGACCAUCUGUUUCCUAAAGGACAUUCUAGUUGACCCAGAAAGUAUCUGUACAACAGUAUGGCCUAUAAACUAAUUCUCAUAACGAUGACCUUGUGUUUCUUUUAAAAAAUAAGAAUACUCUAUAAAAAGACUAGGAAGAAUACAUUUUAGGAUUUUUUAUCCAAAAUAGUUGGGAGUAUAAGUUAUGUGUGACCCAUGUUUUAACAGUAAAUAAAAUGAAACUUGGUACUUCAUAAUUUUAGAUUAAAUGAAAAAUUUAGAAAAAAGAAUUUAAGUAUUUUUGUUACUUCAUUCUACAAAUGCAUUUUUAAAGUAUUUUUAUAAUUUCUGCAAUUAAAUAGCUUUGGCACGAGUGUCGGCUUACCUAAAUGAAGACCUGUUUAAUGAAAUACCAUCUUGCCAGCCUUAUGCAGAGUGUUUGAACAGUCCUGUUUAAGUAGCUGUGCUCUUCUGCUUUCAAUGAGUUCUGUUUCAUUUCGAGUUUCCCCAUACUGGGCACUAAGCUUUGUUUUGAAGAGAGAAUUUGCAGAGGGAGAAGAUGAAAGUGACCUCAUCUUGCACACGGAAAAGAGAACUAACAUCUGUUGAUUGCUUGCUCUGUGCUGGGCUUUUUAUGUAUCUUAUCUUGUGUAACGUCAUCACAUCUCAUAUUAAGAGAUCAUCUCUGGAAAGCAAAGUAAGUUACCUAACAUCACAGAGCAAGUAAAAAUCCAACUCUGGCCGGCCUGACCCCCAGCACCUCUCCUUACCCUUCACGCUGCCCACCUGGGUCCAUGUUGUGCCCCCUUAUGACUCUGGAAUGCUGGGAGAGUGGUAAUUCUCAGGCCAUUUUAAGCAAUAACUAUUUCAGCAGAACUGGUUUAAAGAACUUAUUAAGCAGGGAGGUGACCUGAAUGAAGUUGAAGUGUGAGUAGGAAACUUGCUCAGUUAGUACUGGAUUUCAAAUAAGGAAGGACCUGGAAUCCUUUAGGUCAGAGAUGAGGGCUGCAGGCUCCCCCGCAGCCCCUGCGCCCCAACCACCCUGACCCUCGACAUCUGCCUGGCUCGGUGGCCUGCAAUGGGGAUGGUGAGAAUAUACUGGCCAACUGCACUCUGCAGGCCCCUGUGUCCACAUCCCUCCCAACCUUUAAAACAGGGUAUGGAGGAGCGGGUUCUAAAAUAAGGCGCUUGAGCUGCUGCUUUAGAGUAACAGUCAACAGACACUUGAGGCCCCUUCACACACCGGGUGGUCCUGGCAAGUGCACAGGACGGGUGUUAUUGUCCCUCCUUUAUAAAUGAAGACAUAGGCAGAGGCAGUACAAGUACUCAACAUCCCCUUACUACCAUCAGUCUUGCCGCCUCCCAGUACUAGGUGUCUCUUAUAUUGACCUCCCUUCCCCUCCCCGCCAUUAUAAAAGUAAUAUAUGUUCAUUGUGGAAAGCUUGGAGAAUACAGGAAAUAAAGUUAAUAAUUCACCCCAAAACCCACCACCUGAGAUAAUCUCUGUUAAUGUUUUGGUGUAUUUCCGUCCUGUGUUUUUUCUAUGCAUAUAUAAUUUAUUUUACUACAAGAUUGGGAUCAUGCUGUAUUUACAGAUUUGUACCCUGCUUUCUUCUUUAACAUAUUGUAAGCAUUUUCCCAUGUCAAUAAAUAUUAUUCAAAAAUUAAUGGCUAUAUGAUAUUCCAUUAUAUGAAUUGUGGUAAACACUAGUAAUUGCUUACCCAGUAUUCUUCUUCCUUGCUAACAGAGGAGACAUCAUGACCUAUCCCUCCUCCCCACAAAAAAGGUGCCCACUGCCUUCCUGGGAGGCAGCAUGAGCCUUGUCAGCACUGAAGAGCAGCAGAAAAUGGAAUGGCACCAGGAAGAGCAGACUUGCUCUGCCAUACACAGUCUAGCAGGAGCUUCGGCAGCACAAAUAUGACACAGCUAGAUUAAGUGACUAGAUAAUUCUAUAAUUUUUGUUAAGGAGAGGCGUUUGACAAUAGCAAGGGAUCUAGAUGACUUUAAAAAGUGCAUGUGAAGAAAAGAGAGGUCAGUCAUGUUUACUACUCUGUAAUCCAGUUACUGGCAUUAAUUUUCUUGGAGAUAUUCUUCACUGCAAUUCCAGAGGUGAAAGAGGGUACACAGGGAUGGGGAGAGACAUGUUAGUCUUUCAAAAAAAGUUAAGGGGACACCUGUCAGAAACUACUGGGUAUGUGGCGAGCACAAUAUGGAGAAGGAACAAAUGAAUGGUGUUCUAGGAACAAAUCAUAUGGGUGAGGGAGGAAGGAGGGAGGGAUUUCUAACAACUGCCAUAAGUGAGAAGAUUCAAGGAA